GACGUCGAUAUUCGACAUCAUAAACACAAUCAACUUAGAUUUUUAUGACGUCGAUAUUCGACGUCAUCAACACGAUUAACUUUGGUUUUUAUGACAUCGAUAUUCGACGUCAUAAACACGAUCAAAUUAGGUGUUUAUGACGUCGAUAUUCGACAUCAUAAACACAAUCAACUUAGGUGUUUAUGACGUCGAUAUUCGUCGUCGUAAACACGAUUAACUUUGGUGUUUAUGACGUCGAUAUUCGACGUC
rnacentral:miRNA from 1 species